CCUCCCUGUUUCUGGGUGCAGUUCAACACUCUCUGCCUCUGCACCCAAAGAAGGCAGCGGGAGCCUUGCCAUUGACCUCAGUGAAUGUAGAAGUACCCUCACAGCACUGAUGACAAUCUACAAAGCCCCAUCAGAACCAUUGUACUUCUUGCUGCAUUCCCUGUGGUAUGGGCAGAUGGAUCUGAAAGUCAUCAGUGGGCAGUGAAAGUAAUGCAGGCUGCACAGCUGUCUCUUGCUUUGACUCCUGUACAAAAUCCACAGUCUCCAUUACAGCAGUCCUUCCUUGGCUGACUACUUAGAGUCUGUCCUGGCACAACAAAGGAAGACCUGGCAAUUUCCUUUUGGGACAGGCUGUGUGAGCUCCAGAGAAGGUAGCUCUGCUGGAAAGCAGGGGAGCUCCUUGCACUCCCAGAGUGGGAGGUAAAGGGGAGAAGAUAAGAACCAUCAACCAGCACUGGCUCCCUGGUUCUCUCUCAG
rnacentral:lncRNA from 1 species